rnacentral:rRNA from 1 species
GAGACAGCAGCCGCCACGGUAAUUCGAAGGGGGCUAGCGUUGCUCGGAAUCACUGGGCGUAAAGGGUGCGUAGGCGGGUCUUUAAGUCAGGGGUGAAAUCCUGGAGCUCAACUCCAGAACUGCCUUUGAUACUGAAGAUCUUGAGUUCGGGAGAGGUGAGUGGAACUGCGAGUGUAGAGGUGAAAUUCGUAGAUAUUCGCAAGAACACCAGUGGCGAAGGCGGCUCACUGGCCCGAUACUGACGCUGAGGCACGAAAGCGUGGGGAGCGAACAGGAUUAGAUACCGGGUAGUCCCUGUCUCUUAUACA